CGCAGAGUAGGGGAGGUCGGCCGUCCCCGCCGGGUUCAUUCCCCGGAGAUCGUGGGUUCAAAUCCCGCCUCUGCAA
rnacentral:tRNA from 1 species